UGCGUAGGCGGCUUGGUAAGUCAGAUGUGAAAGGCGGGGGCUCAACCUCCGGACUGCAUCCGAUACUGCCAAGCUAGAGUACUGGAGAGGUGUCUAGAAUUCUCGGUGUAGCAGUGAAAUGCGUAGAUAUCGAGAGGAAUACCAAUGGCGAAGGCAGGACACUGGACAGUUACUGACGCUGAGGCACGAAGGCUAGGGUAGCGAACG
rnacentral:rRNA from 1 species